AAUGAAAGGUAUUCAGGAGGGAGAGGACAACGUCGCCCCGCCGGACAAUUUACUGCCCUUCUCUGGAAAUUCCUCCUGAUCCAGGAACCCUGACUGCCUGUGUUGGACCCAUCCAGUGGGAAGCAAGGAUGACCUCAACCUUGGAGCGGCCCAGUCCUGCAGCGGUGCGAGACCCUGGUCACAGCUCCAGACGAAGGAUAAACAAAUUCCUGACUAAUGAGGGAUGAAGUGGGAGGAGGCCCGACUUCGCACCCGACUCUUCCUGCCGACGACACACUCGGACUCGGCACAUUCAGCUCCAGAUCAGAUAAGGACAACAUUCCCACCCGGGCCGAGACUCGGAGAACUGACAAGCUCUUGCACUCCGACGCUGACAGCACGGACCUGCUGGGGAGUUACGCAACGCCUGGUGUCGUCCCAGAGGCCUGCUUCCUGAAGACCCCCCCACACCCUCCUCCGCCGCUGAACAGUGACGCACCAGCAGCAGUUUCAGUCAGGAGUCGGGCCGGAUGCCCCGCAGUGGCGUCUCCCCCUGACGGCGCUCGUGUCAACAUGUCAGCCAUGUUUUCGCACCUUGUGCGGGAUGUGGGUGUACAAGUGUUGGUCCAGCUGACAGACAGCCUCCUCUGACCCGACUUUCCCCGCUCACCUCCACCCGGCGAGUCUGAGAAGGAAACUGGAGGAUGAGUCUGUUGUCAACAGCCUGGCCUGGAGGCAGGGUUCGGGGCUUCUGCCUCACGUCGGCUAAUUUCUCUCACGGCUAAUAAAGGGUCAGCAAGUCAGGAAACAAAAUGAA